GUGCUCACCUCAGCAGCACGUAUACUAAAAUUGGAAUGAUACAGAGAAGAUUCACAUGGCCCCUUUAAAAAUAUUUAAUAAAAAGGCAGGGCGAGGUGGCUCAUGCCUAU
ensembl:snRNA U6 U6 spliceosomal RNA